UACGGGGGGAGCAAGCGUUGUUCGGAUUUACUGGGCGUAAAGGGCGCGUAGGCGGCGUGACAAGUCACUUGUGAAAUCUCCGGGCUUAACCCGGAAAGGUCAACUGAUACUGCGGGGCUAGAGUGCAGAAGGGGCAACUGGAAUUCUCGGUGUAGCGGUGAAAUGCGUAGAUAUCGAGAGGAACACCUGCGGCGAAGGCGGGUUGCUGGGCUGACACUGACGCUGAACUGCGAAAGCGUGGGGAGCAAACAGG
rnacentral:rRNA from 1 species